AUUGAACGCUGGCGGCAGGCCUAACACAUGCAAGUCGAGCGGAUGAAGGGAGCUUGCUCCUGGAUUCAGCGGCGGACGGGUGAGUAAUGCCUAGGAAUCUGCCUGGUAGUGGGGGAUAACGUCCGGAAACGGGCGCUAAUACCGCAUACGGCCUGAGGGAGAAAGUGGGGGAUCUUCGGACCUCACGCUAUCAGAUGAGCUUAGGUCGGAUUAGCUAGUUGGUGGGGUAAAGGCCUACCAAGGCGACGAUCCGUAACUGGUCUGAGAGGAGGAUCAGUCACACUGGAACUGAGACACGGUCCAGACUCCUACGGGAGGCAGCAGUGGGGAAUAUUGGACAGUGGGCGAAAGCCUGAUCCAGCCAUGCCGCGUGUGUGAAGAAGGUCUUCGGAUUGUAAAGCACUUUAAGUUGGGAGGAAGGGCAGUAAGUUAAUACCUUGCUGUUUUGACGUUACCAACAGAAUAAGCACCGGCUAACUUCGUG
rnacentral:rRNA from 1 species